AACGGGUGAGUAACACGUGGGCAACCUGCCCAAAAGAGGGGGAUAACACUUGGAAACAGGUGCUAAUACCGCAUAACCAUAGUUACCGCAUGGUAGCUAUGUAAAAGGUGGCUAUGCUACCGCUUUUGGAUGGGCCCGCGGCGCAUUAGCUAGUUGGUGGGGUAAAGGCUUACCAAGGCAAUGAUGCGUAGCCGAACUGAGAGGUUGAUCGGCCACAUUGGGACUGAGACACGGCCCAAACUCCUACGGGAGGCAGCAGUAGGGAAUCUUCCACAAUGGGCGAAAGCCUGAUGGAGCAACGCCGCGUGGGUGAAGAAGGUCUUCGGAUCGUAAAACCCUGUUGUUAGAGAAGAAAGUGCGUGAGAGUAACUGUUCACGUUUCGACGGUAUCUAACCAGAAAGCCACGGCUAACUACGUGCCAGCAGCCGCGGUAAUACGUGGGUGGCAAGCGUUAUCCGGAUUUAUUGGGCGUAAAGGGAACGCAGGCGGUCUUUUAAGUCUGAUGUGAAAGCCUUCGGCUUAACCGGAGUAGUGCAUUGGAAACUGGGAGACUUGAGUGCAGAAGAGGAGAGUGGAACUCCAUGUGUAGCGGUGAAAUGCGUAGAUAUAUGGAAGAACACCAGUGGCGAAAGCGGCUCUCUGGUCUGUAACUGACGCUGAGGUUCGAAAGCGUGGGUAGCAAACAGGAUUAGAUACCCUGGUAGUCCACGCCGUAAACGAUGAAUGCUAAGUGUUGGAGGGUUUCCGCCCUUCAGUGCUGCAGCUAACGCAAUAAGCAUUCCGCCUGGGGAGUACGACCGCAAGGUUGAAACUCAAAGGAAUUGACGGGGGCCCGCACAAGC
rnacentral:rRNA from 1 species